rnacentral:rRNA from 1 species
AAUGAACGCUGGCGGCAGGCCUAACACAUGCAAGUCGAACGAGUGGCGGACGGGGGAGUAAUGUCUGGGAAACUGCCUGAUGGAGGGGGAUAACUACGGGAAACGGUAGCUAAUAACGCAUACCAUCAGAUGUGCCAAGAUGGGAUUAGCUAGUUGGUGGGGUAACGGCUCAACAAGGCGACGAGCCCGAGCUGGUCUGAGAGGAAGACCAGCCACACUGGAACUGUGACACGGGCCAGACUCCUACGAGAGGCAGCAGUGGGGAAUAUUGCACAAUGGGCGCAAGCCUGAUGCAGCCAUGCCGCGUGUGUGAAGAAGGCCUUCGGGUUGUAAAGUACUUUCAGCGGUGAGGCGUUACCCGCAGAAGAAGCACCGGCUAACUCCGUGCCAGCAGCCGCGGUAAUAC